CCUACGGGAGACAGCAGUGAGGAAUAUUGGUCAAUGGGCGCGAGCCUGAACCAGCCAAGUAGCGUGAAGGAUGACUGCCCUACGGGUCGCAAACUUCUUUUAUAAAGGAAUAAAGUGCGGCACGUGUCCCUUCUUGUAUGUACUUUAUGAAUAAGGAUCGGCUAACUCCGUGCCAGCAGCCGCGGUAAUACGGAGGAUCCGAGCGUUAUCCGGAUUUAUUGGGUUUAAAGGGAGCGUAGAUGGGUUGUUAAGUCAGUUGUGAAAGUUUGCGGCUCAACCGUAAAAUUGCAAUUGAUACUGGCAGUCUUGAGUACAGUUGAGGUAGGCGGAAUGCGUGGUGUAGCGGUGAAAUGCUUAGAUAUCACGAAGAACUCCGAUUGCGAAGGCAGCUUACUAAGCUGCCACUGACAUUGAUGCACGAAAGUGUGGGGAUCAAACAGGAUUAGAUACCCUUGUAGUC
rnacentral:rRNA from 1 species